GACCCUUUUUUUGUAGGGAAUAUUAGUUUUAUAAUAUGUUGGUCGUUUGACCCAACUAUUAUAAUAUAAUUGUAGGGAAAUUGUGUACAAAAUUUCUUUUAAAAAAAAAUAAGAGGUGAUAACCAACCUGCAGACGAGAAGACUUUAUUCAGAUUUGGAACGUUCUGAAACUUUACGAAAAGGAAAGGCCAAAUCUUGAGGAGUCGUGACACGUGUUCGACAUUCAAGAUACGAUUCCAAGUAUUUCGAGCUCAUCUCGUGGAGUAAUUUGAGUCCGAGAUUGGAGUGUCUUGGAGUUGCGAUGAGAUGUUUGGAUGUUUUGUGGCUCACACUUUUCUCUAUCUUAUAUUUAUUCUGUUAAAUAUUUAGUUUUUAGACAAGAUAUUAUUUAUGUUGGAUUUUUCAUUUUAGUUUCAGACUUGCAUCGUGUUUUAGAAACUGUUGUACUUAUGACACCAAUUCUUUGGUGGUAUUCUUAGAUUUUUCCGAGAUCCGUAUUUGUAAAGAAAAUGUCAAAGAUUUUUACUCGUUA